GAGAGUUAGCUCAGGGUUUAAGAGCACUUGCUACUCUUCUAGAGGACCUGGGUUCAAUUCCCAGAACUCACA
rnacentral:tRNA from 1 species